GACAGAGGGUGCGAGCGUUGUCCGGAAUCACUGGGCGUAAAGGGCGCGUAGGUGGUGACCUAAGCGUGCGGUGAAAGCCCGAGGCUCAACCUCGGGUCGGCCGUGCGAACUGGGUCACUGGAGCAGAAUAGAGGCAGGUGGAAUUCCGGGUGUAGCGGUGGAAUGCGUAGAGAUCCGGAAGAACACCGGUGGCGAAGGCGGCCUGCUGGGUUCUGGCUGACACUGAGGCGCGACAGCGUGGGGAGCAAACAGG
rnacentral:rRNA from 1 species